AAAAAAAAAAAGCCCUGGAAUUCUGUUAGAACAUCGGUCCUCGAUAAAUAACAUCCACAAAAUUACCUGUUUCAGCAUGACAAAAAAAUCUGCAAAAGCAGUUUUGUUGUGCUCAUAUGAUACUUGAUAAGUGUCUAAUCUCUUUUUGGAGUAGUACCAAAUAGAUCACCUCCUUUUGAUUUGCUCCAAUCUCCGGUUGGUUUGAAAUAUUACUGUACCAUGUGUGACUUGAUGCUGCCAUCCUCAACUCCAUUGGGUAGUUGGUUCCACCUAUUUCAUUUCUCAGUUUCAAAUUUAUUCACCCAAAUGCAAAGUCACCGCAUUUACAUUUUGGAUAGUGAGAGGCGGCUUUCUGAGGAGAUUGCAUUUGACUACGUCAACAUGUUCUAGACGAGGCCAUGACUCCCAUUCCCUGCAAAGAGUCCUCAACUUGGGUAGGUUCUUCAACUCCAUUAUUCGUAGGCUUGGAACAACUGGUUCUGGAGUAGAAUUGUGUCCUGAGCAAUACCUAAAUAACUCUUCUAGCUUGUCACAGAAACUUACCUUGAUUUCUUCCAGGCUUGGUAGGGCUAGAAUGAAACUACCAUAAGGGAGAAGAUCUGUCAACCGAGGACACCUUGCAACUUCCAUUAUUUUCAAUCUAGAAAAUCUCAGUCCGAGAUGACCAACUAAUUCUGAAAUGCUUUCUAGAUAAGUCAGACGAUCAAGAUAUAGUUCCUCUAAAUUUGGCAGCAUAUCAUAAUGAGCAGCACAUCCUCCUGCUGGCCGUAAGCUGCUGUUGGAAUUUGAAAUAGUUAGAGAUUUCAAACCGAUGAAGCUACUAGUGCUGUCGAUGGUCAAUGUCUCAAGCAUUUGAUUUAGUCCCCAACAAUGAUUCAGGACGAGAGACUUUACGUUGCUCAACAACCCACCAAUCCAUUCCUCUGAUAGAUUUAGACCACUGAUGGUCACUCUCCUUUUGGCAUGCCUUGUUGGUAAGGAGUUGGCUUGCUCACCAAUGAAAAACUGAAAUCUUCUUAAUCUAUCAAUCCAUGGAACUUCUAUACCAAGUGAUGGGAUGCACUUCAAUCUUACAGACAAAACUACUAGCUUUUGCAGGUUCAUCAGUUCUUCAAAAGUUGCUUCCCCCUCUUUUAACUGUUCUCUGACAUCCCAAUGGUAAUCGCUAAGUGUCAUAUCUAGAACCUCUAAAGCAGACAACCUUGAUAUAGUUCCAGCAGGAAUGUUCUUUAAACAGUGAGUGCGGGAGAGGUUUACUUGUCUUAAUUGGCUCAGCUGUUCUAUCCCUCUUGGCAAUUCUCUGAUACGAGUGGCACAGAGAUCAAGCACUUGAAGUUUACUCAACCUGUCCAAUGAGGGUAAUUCUUCUAAGUAAUAGCACUCCUUCAAAAGCAAAACACGCAAGUCAUUCAGUUGAAGAAGGGAAAGAGGCAACGAAAGGAGGCGAGUUCCACUCAAGUUCAAGACCCUUAGUGCUUGAAAGCCUUGCAAGAAUCUCUCAGGAACUGCCUCAAGGGGAUUACCCUGCAGUAGUAAAGUUGAAGCCUCUGAGCAUUGUGUGGCACAAUUAGGCAAUGUUCUUAUCUUGUUAUUCAUGAAAGAAACUCUUUUAAGGGAAUUUAAUAACUCAGCCUCCGAAAUCUCACUCAAUUCUUUCCCUGAUUGAACAAGUGAUUUACAUCCAUCCUCCAAAGACCACGCUAUCCACUUAGCUACAUCUCGAACUACAUCGUGCAUCUUCACGGUUCCUUUGCGAGCACCAUCUUCCAACAAACAAGAGUCUUUCAAAUUCUCUAGCAAAGAAAUUCCACUGAUAACUAAAUCUUCAUAGCUUUGUUGUUCGUCUAUCAAUCCUUCUGCCAACCAACAUUGUACCAGUUCACUUGCUUCAAUAGAGAAAUCCUCAGGAAACAAAGAACAAUAAAGGAAACAUGAUUUUGUAUUGCUACCUUCUAACGUGUCAUAACUCCACUUCAAGAUGUUAUAAACCUUCUCUUCAAUGCCACUUACAAAAGGCACUGAUUUUUGUAACUUGCUCAAAGCAUGUUUCCACAGCUUUACCAUUUUCUUUCCCCUCAUAGCCUUCCCCAUGGUGAUGAUCGCUAAAGGUAACCCACCACAUUCUUUGGCAAUUGAUUCGGCAAGUGGUCUGAUAUGUUCCAAACACACCACUUCCCCUGCAUUUCGACUGAACAAUUCCCAAGCUUCUUCAUCAUUAAGCUUAUCUACUUUAAUUGCUCUGUCAGUCUUCAUUCCCCUUAAGACAUCAAGCAAUCGAGACGUCAAGAUGAUCUUCGAACCUGUGUGAACUUCAAGCUGGGGGAUUCCUAAAUGGUCCAAAUCAAUUUCCUCCCACACAUCAUCUAGAAUCACUAGGAAGUUCUUUUCCUUCUCAAGUCUCUGAUGCAGGCGUAUAGCUAACCCCUCCACGCUUUCAUCUGAUUUGACCACCAUAUUCAAUCUCUCAGCUAUUUGUGUUUGGACCCUUCUCAAGUUGAAGUUUCUAGAGACUGUUGCCCAUAUCACCACACUGAAAGGCUGCAUCGAAGCUGCCCUGAGCUUAUUGUUCAAGCUCUUAACAAGAGUAGUUUUGCCAACACCUCCCAUCCCCCAAACACCAAUCCUUCUAACCUCAUCAUCGUUUAACAGUUCCAUAAGUUGGGCCAAAGUUUUAGUUGCUGUUGUUUGAUCUUCAAUUAAAGGUCCAGGGAUAUGCUCGACUGUGGGUGCUGGGUGAUUCUUGGCUACCAUGCCUCGUGGAAAAUUUGUAGCUUUGUUAAGUCUUUCUA
rnacentral:misc_RNA from 1 species